rnacentral:rRNA from 1 species
AGUGAACGCUGGCGGUAGGCCUAACACAUGCCAGUCGAACGGCAGCACAGUAAGAGCUUGCUCUUACGGGUGGCGAGUGGCGGACGGGUGAGGAAUACAUCGGAAUCUACUUUUUCGUGGGGGAUAACGUAGGAAAACUUACGCUAAUACCGCAUACGACCUACGGGUGAAAGCAGGGGAUCUUCGGACCUUGCGCGAUUGAAUGAGCCGAUGUCGGAUUAGCUAGUUGGCGGGGUAAAGGCCCACCAAGGCGACGAUCCGUAGCUGGUCUGAGAGGAUGAUCAGCCACACUGGAACUGAGACACGGUCCAGACUCCUACGGGAGGCAGCAGUGGGGAAUAUUGGACAAUGGGCGCAAGCCUGAUCCAGCCACACCGCGUGGGUGAAGAAGGCCUUCGGGUUGUAAAGCCCUUUUGUUGGGAAAGAAAAGCAGCAGGUUAAUACCCCGCUGUUCUGACGGUACCCAAAGAAUAAGCACCGGCUAACUUCGUG